GCUGGGCAUGGUGGCUCAUGCCUGUAAUCCCAGCACUUUGGGAGGCUGAGGCAGAUGGAUCACCUGAGGUCAGGAGUUCAAGACCAGCCUGGCCAACAUGGUGAAACUCCGUCUCUA
rfam:Pan troglodytes isolate Yerkes chimp pedigree #C0471 (Clint) chromosome 9, whole genome shotgun sequence.